rnacentral:rRNA from 1 species
UCUAUUAGGAUUCGACUAAGCCAUGCAAGUCAGGGGAUUCUUCGGAAUCACCGGCAAAAUGCUCAGUAACACGUCGAUAAUUUGACCUUAAGUCUAGGAUAACCUUGGGAAACUGAGGCUAAUACUGGAUAGAAUAUUUCUACUGGAAUGUUAUAUAUUCUAAAGCUACGGUGCUUAAGGAUAAGUCGGCGGCUGAUUAGGCUGUUGGUGGGGUAAAGGCCCACCAAACCUACGAUCAGUACGGGCCUUGAGAGAGGUAACCCGGAGAAGGACACUGAGAUACUGGUCCUAGCCCUACGGGGUGCAGCAGGCGCGGAACCUUUACAAUGCACGUAAGUGUGAUAAGGGGAUCCUAAGUGCUUAUGCUUAGCAUAGGCUUUUGCUAAGAGUAAAAAUCUUGGCGAAUAAGUGGUGGGAAAGACUGGUGCCAGCAGCCGCGGUAACACCAGCGCCACAAGUGGCAAUCACUUUUAUUGGGCCUAAAGCGUCCGUAGCCGUUUGGAAAAUCUUUUGUGAAAUCGUUAGACUCAAUUUAACGGCGUGCAGAAGACACUACCAGACUUGGAACCGGAAGGAGUCAGAAGUAUUGUUGGGGGAGCGGUAAAAUGUUGUAAUCCCAGCAAGACCACCUGUGGCGAAGGCGUCUGACUAGUACGGAUUCGACGGUGAGGGACGAAAGCCAGGGGAGCAAAACGGAUUAGAUACCCGAGUAGUCCUGGCUGUAAACGCUGCGAGUAAGGUGUUGCGUAUUCUUCGUGAAUAUGCAGUGUCGAAACGAAGGUAUUAAACUCGCCGCCUGGGAAGUAUGGUCGCAAGACUGAAACUUAAAGGAAUUGGCGGGGGAGCACCACAAGGGGUGCGGCGUGCGGUUUAAUCUAAUUCAACGCAGAGAAUCUCACCAGAAGCGACGGCAGGAUGACAGUCAGUCUGAAGGGCUUACUUGACGAGCCGAGAGGUGGUGCAUGGCCGCCGUCAGCUCGUGCCGUGAGGUGUCCUCUUAAGUGAGGCAACGAGCGAGACCUGCACCUACAAUUGCUAACAACCGAUUCUCGGGAUUGAGCACAAUGUAGGAACUGCCUUGGAAACAAGGAGGAAGGUGCAGGCUACGGUAGGUCUGUAUGCCCCGAAUCUUCUGGGCUACACGCGCGCAACAAUGAUAGGGACAAUGGGAUACAACUCCGAAAGGAGAAGUUAAACCUCUAAACCCUAUCCAAGUACAGAUUGAAGGCUGUAACUCGCCUUCAUGACGAUGGAAUCCCUAGUAAUUGGACUUCAUCACGGUCCAGUGAAUAUGUCCCUGCUCCUUGCACACACCGCCCGUCAAACCAUCCGAGCAGGGUUAGAUGAGCAGCAACUUUUUUGGUUAUUUCGAAUCUAAGCUCAGUGAGGAGGGUUAAGUCGUCACAAGGUA